AAGUCUUAUAGCACUUCUGUCAUUAAGAGGAAAAACAGUUUGAACAGAGCCUUUUCCAUAAGAUUGCUCACCAAUAAUUAUUGCACGUUUAUGAUCUUGAAGGGCACCAGCUACAAUUUCUGAUGCAGAUGCAGAUCCACGAUUAAUCAAAACUAUUAUUGGUUUAUCUUUUGUUAAGUCACCCCGGGUAGCUUUAAAUGAUCCAAUGUCUGAUUUAUCUUUUCCUUUGGUAGAAACUAUUUCACCAGAAUUUAAAAAACUAUCAGUGACUGCAAUUGAUUGUCCUAACAAGCCGCCGGGAUUAUUUCUU
rnacentral:ncRNA from 1 species